rnacentral:rRNA from 1 species
AUUGAACGCUGGCGGCAGGCCUAACACAUGCAAGUCGAACGAGUGGCGGACGGGUGAGUAAUGUCUGGGAAACUGCCUGAUGGAGGGGGAUAACUACUGGAAACGGUAGCUAAUACCGCAUACUAUCCGAUGUGACCAGAUGGGAUUAGCUAGUUGGUGGGGUAACGGCUCACCAAGGCGACGAUCCCUAGCUGGUCUUAGAGGAUGACCAGCCCCACUGGAACUGAGACACGGGCCAGACUCCGACGGGAGGCAGCAGUGGGGAAUAUUGCACAAUGGGCGCAAGCCUGAUGCAGCCAGGCCGCGUGUAUGAAGAAGGCCUUCGGGUUGUAAAGUACUUUCAGCGGGGAGGCGUUACCCGCAGAAGAAGCACCGGCUAACUCCGUGCCAGCAGCCGCGGUAAUUC